rnacentral:rRNA from 1 species
CCUACGGGAGGCAGCAGUAAGGAAUAUUGGUCAAUGGACGCAAGUCUGAACCAGCCAUGCCGCGUGAAGGAUGAAUGCCCUCUGGGUUGUAAACUUCUUUUAUAGGGGACGAAAAAGGGUCUUUUCAGAUCAACUGACGGUACCCUAGGAAUAAGCACCGGCUAACUCCGUGCCAGCAGCCGCGGUAAUACGGAGGGUGCAAGCGUUAUCCGGAUUUACUGGGUUUAAAGGGUGCGUAGGUGGGUUGGUAAGUCAGCGGUGAAAUCUUCGAGCUUAACUCGGAAACUGCCAUUGAUACUAUCAGCCUUGAAUAUCCUGGAGGUGAGCGGAAUAUGUCAUGUAGCGGUGAAAUGCUUAGAUAUGACAUAGAACACCAAUUGCGAAGGCAGCUCACUACGGGAUUAUUGACACUGAGGCACGAAAGCGUGGGGAUCAAACAGGAUUAGAUACCCUGGUAGUCCACGCCCUAAACGAUGGAUACUCGACAUUUGCGAUAUACAGUAAGUGUUNUGAGCGAAGAGAUAAGUAGUCCGACCGUACGGAAGGUAACGUAGUCGUUCGAGUAGUUAGUUAACGUACAANAGAGUAGACGGCGNGAGACGNGCGACGGACGACGACGAGGGAGGAGG